UACGUAGGGGGCAAGCGUUGUCCGGAUUUAUUGGGCGUAAAGAGCGUGUAGGCGGCCAGGUAGGUCAGCUGUGAAAACUCGAGGCUCAACCUCGAGACGUCGGUUGAAACCACCUGGCUAGAGUCCGGAAGAGGAGAGUGGAAUUCCUGGUGUAGCGGUGAAAUGCGCAGAUAUCAGGAGGAACACCAAUGGCGAAGGCAGAUCUCUGGGCCGUAACUGACGCUGAGGAGCGAAAGCAUGGGGAGCGAACAGG
rnacentral:rRNA from 1 species